AUUCCAUGAUGGGGACAUUCUAGGAUGUAGUCUUGGAAGCGGUCUCAUGCUUCUGGAAUGGAUUCAUCAUGUUGUUGCUGGGUCU
rnacentral:snoRNA from 1 species